rnacentral:rRNA from 1 species
UACGUAGGGGGCGAGCGUUGUCCGGAUUCAUUGGGCGUAAAGCGCUUUAAGGCGGUUCGCUAAGUCGCGUGUGAAACCUCCAGGCUCAACCUGGAGACGCCACGCGAUACUGAUCGACUGGAAGGCAGGAGAGGGUAGUGGAAUUCCCGGUGUAGUGGUGAAAUGCGUAGAUAUCGGGAGGAACACCCGUGGCGAAGGCGGCUCUCUGGGACGGUACUGACGCUGAGACGCGAAAGCGUGGGGAGCGAACAGG